rnacentral:misc_RNA from 1 species
AAGUCGUAACAAGGUUUCCGUAGGUGAACCUGCGGAAGGAUCAUUAUCGAGUUCGGGGACUUAUUGUCCACGCCCUCCAACCCUUUGUCUACCUGACCAGAUGUUGCUUCGGCAGGCCCGUCGCCCCGCGAGGGGUGGCCGCCGGGGGUCCUUACCGGCCCCGGGUCCGCGCCUGUCGAUGGCCCUCUUAUAAACUCUUGCUUCAACCGUGUCGUCUGAGUAAACAAACAAAUAAAAACAAAACUUUCAACAACGGAUCUCUUGGUUCUG